GGGGUCCAGCCAUUGCCACAUGUCCAACAUACAUUUGACAAGAUGGAAGGUUUCAUGUGAUGACAAGUAGCAAGAUGCAUGGUGUACACAUGGUGUAGUGUAUGAGUAACACAUGGUGUAAUGCAUGAGAGACACUUGGUGUGGUGCAUGCAUUGCAAGGGACACUUGGUGUCUUGCAUGAAAGGCAAAUGACAAGUGUCUUCAUGCAUGUAAGGCAACUUUGGCUUGCUCCUCCUAUAAAUAGGACCAUGAUCAAGCAUUCAAAACACACCACAAGAGAAGAACAACAAAGAGCAAGAGAAAAAGAGAGCCUUGCUCAUGAGAAAGUCAUCCUCAUAGAGAGUUUUCUUGUGAGAGAAAUAGUGAGCCAAUUUGUGAGAGCGUUCCUUACAAAUUGAGAGAUAUAUUGUAGUGAGAUCCACCUAAGGGUGAAGUUGUUGUAUUCCCAUUAUCAUUAUAGUGGAAGUUUUAAGAGGCCCAAGGGUCCCGUGGUUUUUUCCCUUUCUCACAUUGAGAAGGUUUUCCACGCUAAAAUUCUCUUUGUGUCAUUACGCUUAUAUUUCACGUUUCCGCUAGUGUCUAUUUUGAGUUCACGGAGAAGGGAAAUUAUGCAUGCAUUUCCCAAC
rnacentral:lncRNA from 1 species